ACUCCAUCGCCCAGGCUUUCCUUCCCAUAAGGCUCCCACGUGUGGGGAGAGAUGGCUAGUUUGCAGGAGUAGGAGGGAGGGGUAAGAGAGGUACAGCUGGAGGAGGCUCCACGGAAAGACUGUGGAAAUGUGGAAAGCAGGGAAAUGAAGAGGGACACGUCACUCGUUGCAAGCUGAAAUGCAGAGGAGGUGGUAAGGGGAAGAACAGAGCAGGGAGGCAGAGAUUUGGAAGCUUCAUCAGAGAAGAACUGACCUCAAGAGCAAAGGCUUGGCAGCUUUCUCCUCUAAAAGCUCAGAGACCUUUCAAGAUCCCAGGCUGGCAGUCUCACAAGAACUGGCAUUAGAAAUUGUAUGCAGCUACGGAAAGAGUUUCCAUCCAAGGAUGUGAGAAAGUUCUCCCUGCUUGUCCAUCCAUGUUCUAACCUGUGCUUUCCAGUGCAACGCUGCAAAAGAGCAGAAGACAUAUUUGAAUUGGCUGGGGAUCUGGUUCCUGUUACAGAUGACCCCACAGACUUUUUCAGCUAGGAACCUUAUUAGAGAAUAUCCAUUUGCUGUCUACAGUUCCACCUAAGAGAGGGAAGAUUACUCAUUUUUUGUGCCUGAGAGACAGGGGGAAGUCAAGAUCCUACAACAGCCAUCAUGGUGACUCUUCCUCUUUUUCUCCUCUUCAUCCUUUUGCCCUGCCAUAAAUCUCAGGAGGACUUUCUGGACCAGCAUCAGAAAUGGAACUACAGAGAAGGCGCUGACAAGGUCAGCAUAGAAGGUGUUUACAGCAUUACUCAAACCCUUGAGAAAUGGGGAAAUGACAUCUUCUGGCAAAUGAAGCACACCCUGCUGAACAACCCAAAUGCUCUCCUGCCUGAGUUCUCCAGUCUCCAUCCUGUCUCUACAGCUGUGGACAACCUUGUGAGGGAAGUCCAGUCAAUAAGGAAAAGGCUGGAAGAACUGAAUGAACGUCUCAAUGUCAUCAGCAAAACUGUCCUUCCUCUUCGACUAAAUGCUCUGCAGAGCCAGCGGCGUGGAAAUACUCAGCUGCGGAGACUCCUGACACAUAGGAGAAGGUUAUAUGCUCGCAGGAGACCUCAGAGCACUUAAUUCUCUACCAGAGAAAAGGGAAAAUCUUUACUGUUUUUUCAUCUGAUUAAGCCUUUCUCAAUGGGAUAUUGCUGGAGAGAAAAAAGUAAAGCACACACAUAAGUCAGCUUUGCUAAGGAGAUCAGAACAAGUGCAUUUUGUUGCUGCCUUCCAAACUUACCUAGGUCAGUAGGUGAAACCUUACCCUAUUCUUUAAUGAUGGCUGUUUUGCAUUCCAAGCAAAAAAAAAGUUGAUAAGCUCAGUCUACUUGAGCAUGAAUAUCUUUAGUCUAUACAAGCAUUCUUUCUGCUUAACAGAGGAAGAGCUUUCUAUAAAGAUCAGGUGAAUUUCUCUCUCUGCCCUAUUUUUAAAGCACUCCAUCUGAAACAGCUGGGAAAUUUGAACUUCAAAAGUGCUGAACAACUGAUGCAUGCAGAAAGAUGGAUUAGUGCUUGGCACUUCCAGCUGGACAGGGAGAGGGAGAGGAAGUCAUGUUUCAAAAUAUAGCCUUAACCUAUUGUCCAUGUUCAUAUGUUCAGAGUGUGGGUAGGGCUGGAUAACCUUGGUCUGUACAUCAUGCUUCAACACUGAAGAUAUAUCAGUUUCUAGGGACCAAAUUUGAAUGAACAUCCACCUUCUGCGCCUUCUAGCUACCUGGAACUGUGCAUUCAGAAUGGUGUUACUCAGUAGAUAUGUUCAGAAUUUCCAGCACUCUGAAACACAUUAUUGAACGGAUUUUUGCCAAGACCCAUGGAAACCAGGGGAUUUUUUUCCCAAACUAUUUAGAUACCUAACAGCAAAGAGAGGUGUCUGGAAGGACUUUCUAAAAUAGCUUAAGACUCUUCAGUCCCCCAAAUCACAGAUAAUAAUUCUACUGGUGUCUAGUUCACAGAGUUCAUAUUUUCUCCACAUGCCAGCACUGACCUCCAGACAUUUCCCAACAUUCUUUAGCACAAUUAAUAUCUGUAGAAAAUUAACAACCACACUCUCCAAAGACUUUGGUCCCUCAGGGAUUACCCAGAAUACCCUGCCUUCAGCUUGUCUUUGCCUGUGUCUUCCUGACAAUAAAGCUGGUGAUAAAAAAGAGUGCAUGAAUCAAAUUAUGCACCGAAUGGAGGACAGAGUGGGCUUGCCCCUCAGGUGUCUAAAGAUAAAUCCAAUACAGAGAUUUCCAUUUAGCAUUGCAGUCAACUGUGUAUAUGAAAUGUGUUGAAACAUAAGAAGGAGAGCCAGAGAGGAAAAGAAACAGGUAGUCAUUAAGGUCUGGAUGAAGCAAUUUAUGAGAACACAAAUAAAGAAUGGAUUAUGUCUAAAUGAUUGUGGGAGUAUCUGGCAUGACAGUUGUUUUGAAAACACUCUCCAGGAUGCAGACUAGUUAUUUAAGGAUUCCCAAAGCUUGAGUUUAUGGAAAGAAAUUCGGUGAGAGUACAAUAACCUCCAAAAGGAAAGGGUGGAAAAAAUAGUUUCAUAAGAAAUCUUUCAGAAUGGACCAGAAGAAUUAGCACAGUAAGAAUUUUAGCUGCAACCUGGGAGUUGAGUGGAGGAGGUAUGAGCAAUGUAUGAGACAAUCUGAUAAAUAUUUCCUGGAGGUAAAUUCUCUGACUUCAGGUUUUCAGAAAAUAACAAAACUCUAACUUGGCUCUCUUUGGCUUUUGCUUGGGAAUUCAAAACACUGCUUAGCUAGAGAAGGGAAAAAUCAAGACUGUGAAAAGGCUGAUAAAAGGAUAUGAUUGUGCCUUUGUUGAAGUUGUCAUCAUAAUUUCUCAGAAAAUGUUGAUCCCGGAAUAUAUUUACAUAAAUUACAAGGAAUAACAGGAGAGAAAGGCCCCUAACUUCUUGUUAUUCUGCAUUCAGAAUUUCUAGGCUAUGCUGUACCAACAGCUGCAUCCUUGCACAGACUGCUGUUUCCUCCAAGGGAUGCUUUUCUUGGGGCUGUAGGGACUGCUGGUUAUUUUGGUCCAUCUGGAGGAAGAGUACAACAUAAAUGUUAGCUUUCAUGGUCGUAUUCUAGACACAAGCAUUUCAUCCGGCAACCUGAAGUUGUAUACAUUGAGGAUUACUUGAAACGGAAAGAUGACGCUUCCCUCAAAUUACAGAGGCUGGUAGUGGGAGGCUAGACCUGAUCAUUGUAUACUUUUACUUUAUACCUAGAUGUCCAACAGCUUCCGCCAGAGACAGAGGACAGGGCCAGAUGGACCCUCAGUCCAACUCAGUCCACCUAUUCCUACACCGAUAUGUGCAAAUUUGUAUUCUUGGCAAAACCUCCUCAGCACAACGGAGAAAGUCAUCAUUUGCUUUAAAAGAGAGUAAGAUGCAGCAUGCAAGGUAUAAUUCUGCAAUUUCUUGCAUAAUGGUGAAUAAACCAAAUAAU